CAAGAUCCAGGCUGAGGUGGCAAGCUCAGAGGACAAGGACCAACAUCCCCCUGAUCUUGUGGAAGAUGCUUGGCUUGGUGCUGACCUGGGUGAGCACAGUGAGCUGCAGAGUGAAACAGAGAUGGAAAGAAGCCUUACGUAUGGUGACACUAAGGGGAGGGAACCCACUGAGGAUGUGUUGGAGGCUCCAUCAGGAAGAGGUGCUGGGCCUGAAGCUGAGCUGCCUGCCUUGGAGGUUGCAGAGGAAGAUGUAGAGCUGGUGCCUGCUCCAGUCAGCACAGCCUCAUCCUACUCAGCUGAUGUCCCUGCCUCAGAGGUGAUGUCCCAGGGUGACAAAGGUGUGCCUGCUGGAGAUGUGCUGUCGCCAGGAGAAGGACAUGAAGAUCUCUUUGAUCUGGCUUCAGUUCUGGCAUCUCUGGAGAACCGUACAGCACUGCAGUCCCUGCACCAGCCCGGAGAUGUGCUAUUUGAAGUAAUGACUGAAAUCAAACACGAGGACUGGAUCACUCCUGGUGGCAGUGAGCUCAGAAGGGAUCUCCUAGAAUCUAUAAGAAGCCAUAUCCAGCAGAACCUGAAGCUCUCUGCCAACAGAGUCAGUGAAAUAAAGUUAAAGGAAGCCA
rnacentral:lncRNA from 1 species